GACGAACCGAGCGAACGUUGUUCGGAAUCACUGGGCGUAAAGGGUGCGUAGGCCGCACGGUAAGUCAGAGGUGAAAUCCCGGAGCUCAACUCCGGAAUGGCCUCCGAUACUGCCGUGCUCGAGGACUGGAGAGGAGUCUGGAAUUCACAGUGGAGCAGUGAAAUGCGUGGAUAUUGUGAGGAACACUAGUGGCGAAGGCGAGACUCUGGACAGUUCCUGACGCUGAGGCACGAAGGCCAGGGGAGCAAACGGG
rnacentral:rRNA from 1 species